ensembl:lncRNA
GGUCCUACAAGUGUAAUAGAAUUUCAGAAAUACAUUUCAGACAUGUUUUUUGCAUGAUAAGUCUUAACAUUAUAGACCUGGACAGAGUACGUUCAUUAAGUCAAGCUCUGCGUAUAGAACUUCAGACUUCACAGAGAACCUUUAUGGUGCUUAAUACUCUAUAUACUAAUAAGUGCAUGAAUGGUAUCUUAUGCUUGUACUUUAGUUAACAGUAGUGGAACAAUCAAUAUUGAGGAAUAAACCAUAGGUUUAUUUACUUUCUAUUCCAAGAUUGGCAUAGACCAUAGCAUUGUUAUGAAUUGGGCUGUGCAUUUUCCUGUUUUUAAUUUUGUGGUUAACAGUGUAUUUUAGAAAAUGGAGUGGCAUUAACAGGAUCUUACAUAUGGUCCAAAAAUUGGAUUAGAAAUCUAAAGUUACAAAGUUACAUAGCCGGCGAUUGCAGGUGUAUGUGAAAAGUAUGUUGAUGACUUUCAACCUACUGGGUCUCAUCCUGCGCCAGUAUGAAGAAGCUGAGACACAGAGAGAUGUUAUUUCAUUUCAGUUCUGCACUGAAUAUUUUUAAAUGAAACAGUGAAUGCCAUGCAAAUGUGAGAUUCAAGUAAUGUAAAAGAGUAAUAUACUUUAGGUGUUAACAGUGUAGUUUGGGAGUUGAGAUAAAGAAUAGUCAAAAUUCAGAAAACGCUUUGGAUUAAAAUCCCUUUGUAUACUAUGUAAUAUAAGUAUAAUAGAUUAUGGUCAAUAGAUUUCAGCAAUGUUGUUUGUAAAAUAAGUGUUAGAGGUGUAUUCUUGGAUAUGGAGAGACAUGGACAAAACCCUGCUGUAAUUUGCUGAAAGAUCUCACAAAUGUUUGGCCAUACUGACUAUAUGAAGAGUCUGUAUGAAGUAUGUUGAUCAACAUAUACUUACUGGGUCUCAUCCUGGGCCACCGUGGAUCUGAAAUAUAGAGAGAAAUAACUCAUCUGGAACCGUCGUGGAGUGAAUGUUUUAAAUAUUUUAUAUAUUAUAACAUUUUAAAAAGUGAAUUGUGUAGAAAUGUGAGAUGAAGGCCAUGUGAGAGUCACAUACUUUGGGUUGCCCAAUCAUAUCCUGAAGCUGAAAUAAAGAACAAUCAAAAUUCACAAAACACUUUGAAUUAAAAUAUCAAGUGAUAUCCAUUCAAUACAGUGUUCUAGAUUAUCAAGAACAAUUGUACCAUCAAAAAAUAGCUCAAAAAAUGAAAGGACACUUAAAAUAUAUGAUUAACAAAAAGGAACAAGUAAAAAGUGGUCCUACAAGUGUAAUAGAAUUUCAGAAAUACAUUUCAGACAUGUUUUUUGCAUGAUAAGUCUUAACAUUAUAGACCUGGACAGAGUACGUUCAUUAAGUCAAGCUCUGCGUAUAGAACUUCAGACUUCACAGAGAACCUUUAUGGUGCUUAAUACUCUAUAUACUAAUAAGUGCAUGAAUGGUAUCUUAUGCUUGUACUUUAGUUAACAGUAGUGGAACAAUCAAUAUUGAGGAAUAAACCAUAGGUUUAUUUACUUUUUAUUCCAAGAUUGGCAUGGACCAUAGCAUUGUUAUGAAUUGGGACGUGCAUUGUCCUGUUUUUAAUUAUAUGGUUAACGGUGUAUUUCAGAAAAAGGAGUGGCAUUAACAGGAUCUUACAUAUGGUCCAAAAAUUGGAUUAAAAAUCUAAAGUUACAAAGUUACAUAGCCGGCGAUUGCAGGUGUAUGUGAAAAGUAUGUUGAUGACUUUCAACCUACUGGGUCUCAUCCUGCGCCAGUAUGAAGAAGCUGAGACGCAGAGAGAUGUUAUUUCAGUUCAGUUCUGCACUGAAUAUUUUUAAAUGAAACAGUGAAUGCCAUGCAAAUGUGAGAUAUAAGUAAUGUAAAAGAGUAAUAUACUUUAGGUGUUAACAGUGUAGUUUGGGAGUUGAGAUAAAGAAUAGUCAAAAUUCAGAAAACACUUUGGAUUAAAAUCCUUUUGCAUACUAUGUAAUAUAAGUAUAAUAGAUUAUGGUCAAUAGAUUUCAGCAAUUUUGUUUGUAAAAUAAGUUUUAGAGGUGUAUUCUUGGAUGCGGAGAGACAUGGACAAAACCCUGCUGUAAUUUGCUGAAAGAUCUCACAAAUGUUUGGCCAUACUGACUAUAUGAAGAGUCUGUAAGAAGUAUGUUGAUCAGCAUAAACUUACUGGGUCUCAUCCUGGGCCACCGUGGAUCUGAAAUAUAGAGAGAAAUAACUCAUCUGGAACCGUCCUGAACUGAAUGUUUUAAACAUUUCAUAUGUUAUAACAUAUUUUGAAAAGUGAAUUGUGUAGAAAUGUGGGAUGAAGGCCAUGUGAGAGUCACAUACUUUGGGUUGCCCAAUCAUAUCCUGAAGCUGAAAUGAAGAACAAUCAAAAUUCACAAAACACUUUGAAUUAAAAUAUCAAGUGAUAUCCAUUCAAUACAGUGUUCUAGAUUAUCAAGAACAAUUGUACCAUCAAAAAAUAGCUCAAAAAAUGAAAAGACACUUAAAAUAUAUGAUUAACAAAAAGGAACAAGUAAAAAGUGGUCCUACAAGUGUAAUAGAAUUUCAGAAAUACAUUUCAGACAUAUUUUUUGCAUGAUAAGUCUGAACAUUAUAGACCUGGACAGAGUACGUUCAUUAAGUCAAGCUCUGCGUAUAGAACUUCAGACUUCACAGAGAACCUUGAUGGUGCUUAAUACUCUAUAUACUAAUAAGUGCACGAAUGGUAUCUUAUAAUUGUACUUUAGUUAACAGUAGUGGAACAAUCAAUAUUGAGCAAUAAACCAUAGGUUUAUUUACUUUCUAUUCCAAGAUUGGCAUGGACCAUAGCAUUGUUAUGAAUUGGGCUGUGCAUUUUCCUGUUUUUAAUUAUAUGGUUAAUGGUGUAUUUUAGAAAAUUGAGUGGCAUUAAAAGGAUCUUACAUAUGGUCCAAAAAUUGGAUUAGAAAUCUAAAGUUACAAAGUUACAUAGCCGGCGAUUGCAGGUGUAUGUGAAAAGUAUGUUGAUGACUUUCAACCUACUGGGUCUCAUCCUGCGCCAGUAUGAAGAAGCUGAAACACAGAGAGAUGUUAUUUCAUUUCAGUUCUGCACUGAAAAUUUUUAAAUGAAACAGUGAAUGCCAUGCAAAUGUGAGAUUCAAGUAAUGUAAUGGAGUAAUAUACUUUAGGUGUUAACAGUGUAGUUUGGGAGUUGAGAUAAAGAAUAGUCAAAAUUCACAAAACACUUUGGAUUAAAAUCCUUUUGCAUACUAUGUAAUAUAAGUAUAAUAGAUUAUGGUCAAUAGAUUUCAGCAAUGUUGUUUGUAAAAUAAGUGUUAGAGGUGUAUUCUUGGAUUUGGAGAGACAUGGACAAAACCCUGCUGUAAUUUGCUGAAAGAUCUCACAAAUGUUUGGCCAUACUGACUAUAUGAAGAGUCUGUAUGAAGUAUGUUGAUCAACAUAAACUUACUGGGUCUCAUCCUGGGCCACCGUGGAUCUGAAAUAUAGAGAGAAAUAACUUCAUCUGGAACUGUCCCGGGCUGAAUAUUUCAAACAUUGAAUAUAUUUUAAACAGAUUUUGAAAAAGUGAAUUGUGUAGAAAUGUGAAAUGCAGGCGAUUUGAUGGAGUCACAUACUUGGGGUGACCCAGUCAUAUCCUGGAGCUGAGAGAAAGAACAGUCAUGACAGAGUCUCACGAAUAGUUUUAAAACAUUGUGUGCAAAAUAAAACAUUUCAAUGAAAAAGUAAAGUACUGAGGAAAUGUGAAAUAUAGAAAGAAUGAACUUCAUCUGGAACCGUCCUGGGGUGAAUGUUUCAAACAUUUCAUAUAUCAUCAUAACAUUUAAAAAUAUUAAUUGUGUACAAAUGUGAGAUAAAGGCCAUGUGAUCACAUACUUGGGGUUGCCCAAGCAUAUCCUGAAGCUGAAAUAAAGAACAAUCAAAAUUCACAAAACACUCAGAGAAUGGACUCUUCCUCUUAUAGCUAGUGCAUGGGUCUAGUUGGUGUUGUGUGAGGUGGGGCCAUAAAGCAUUACAUUGUUCUCUCCAGAGGUCUAGCGCCCUGUACCCCAAAGUUACAUAGUGCAAUACCAGGCGUGUUGUGGCAGAUGCCAUUCUUGUUACUUUAAAGAACCUUAAUAAUGCAAUUUAAUAAAAUAAUAUGUGACACUAGCUUGCCAUAUGAUAGAGCUAUAUACCAUAAUUUAUAGAUACUGUAAUUGAUAAUAUUACAUCAUUUUAACAUCAGAGUUUAGAAUAAGAUCUAUUUUUGAGGAAUGCAUGACCACAUUCAAAGAGAAUAUUUUUUUUUAAAUAGCAAUGUAGGGCGCAUAAAAACAUAUUCUUACUACAGUUGUGAACAUAUCCAUAGUUGUUAUGGGCUCAAUGCUAAGGACCUGAGGAAUUCUGUGAUGUUCUCAUAGACAUGCUGAAGUGAAGGCAUCUAUCUACUGGUAAUAAAAGUGAACUUUUAGAGGUAUUAAAGGAAUAUAACAAUACAAAUGCAUUACAGUUGCAUACGUUCUUUACUUUUUUUUUAAUAACUUGCACUACUACGUUGAGUUCUCGCUUGUGAUAUGCAAAAGGCCUUGCUUGCCCCGGAGUUGUACAGCUCCUUACUCCUUAAUAUGUAGAGCUGGUGUUGGAGUCCGGUGGUGAGUGUCUGUUCAGCAUACACUAGCAACAGUUUUUGCGGGGCAGCACUUACGUACAGUAGGCUACUGUAUAUUUUCACCACCAAGUUUGUCUCACUGCAUCCAAUUUAGUGUAUUUACACCAAUAUGACUUAAUUGCAGCAUUAAACACCAAAAACUGCACAGGUAGAGCUAAUAUCUAACUAAUCUUUUGCCAUCAUAAUUGCAGAUGUAAUGCAGUAAAUGCUGUUCUUACACGUCCACAGAGUGUCGAUCGAUGUAGUGAACAGCCGGGACAGACAGGGGGAAUACCAGGUUUAAUUUAUUCACAUGACCAUGUAUCAUCAAAAUGGAUUUAGGAACUACCAGUCUACAAAACCUACCUUGAAAACGAUAUGAAUCUGCAUAAUGUCACUUUGAUGUAAAAAUGGUCAUGACCUAUAACAUGAAGACAUAGGCUUACCUUUAGACCAAUGCUGGCAGUCUGGACAGGGAAUGAACAUAAAGAAAGGUUAAGAAUAGCAAAUCACUCUUAAUGUCAUGGUCAC